rnacentral:rRNA from 1 species
GAUGAACGCUGGCGGCGUGCCUAAUACAUGCAAGUCGAGCGAACAGACGAGGAGCUUGCUCCUCUGACGUUAGCGGCGGACGGGUGAGUAACACGUGGAUAACCUACCUAUAAGACUGGGAUAACUUCGGGAAACCGGAGCUAAUACCGGAUAACAUGUUGAACCGCAUGGUUCAACAGUGAAAGACGGUCUUGCUGUCACUUAUAGAUGGAUCCGCGCCGCAUUAGCUAGUUGGUAAGGUAACGGCUUACCAAGGCAACGAUGCGUAGCCGACGUGAGAGGGUGAUAGGCCACACUGGAACUGGGCCGCGGUCCAGACUCCUACGGGAGGCAGCAGUAGGGAAUCUUCCGCAAUGGGCGAAAGCCUGACGGAGCAACGCCGCGUGAGUGAAGAAGGUCUUCGGAUCGUAAAACUCUGUUAUUAGGGAAGAACAAAUGUGUAAGUAACUGUGCACGUCUUGACGGUACCUAAUCAGAAAGCCACGGCUAACUACGUG